CACGUAGGGUCCAAGCGUUGUCCGGAUUUAUUGGGCGUAAAGAGCUCGUAGGCGGCUUGGUAAGUCGAGUGUGAAAACUCUGGGCUCAACUCAGAGACGCCACUCGAUACUGCCAUGGCUUGAGUCCGGUAGGGGAGUGUGGAAUUCCCGGUGUAGCGGUGAAAUGCGCAGAUAUCAGGAGGAACACCGGUGGCGAAGGCGGAUCUCUGGGCCUUACCUGACGCUCAGGUGCGAAAGCUAGGGGAGCGAACAGG
rnacentral:rRNA from 1 species